rnacentral:rRNA from 1 species
GAUCAAGUGUCUUAAGGGCAAUUGGUGGAUGCCUUGGCAUGCACAGGCGAUGAAGGACGUGAUACGCUGCGAUAAGCUACGGGGAGGUGCGAAUACCCUUUGAUCCGUAGAUCUCCGAAUGGGGAAACCCACCUAAGGUACUUGGAAAAUCAGAGCAGCAGGGCGAUGAUCUCUUUGAGAUCGCGCUGUUUUUGCUGCUGUGGUUUCCAAGUAUCGAUAAUAGGUAACUUAUCCUGAAUACAUAGGGAUAAAGUGGCGAACGCGGGGAACUGAAACAUCUAAGUACCCGUAGGAAA